CGGACGGGUGAGUAAUGUCUGGGAAACUGCCCGAUGGAGGGGGAUAACUACUGGAAACGGUGGCUAAUACCGCAUAACGUCGCAAGACCAAAGAGGGGGACCUUCGGGCCUCUUGCCAUCGGAUGUGCCCAGAUGGGAUUAGCUAGUAGGUGGGGUAACGGCUCACCUAGGCGACGAUCCCUAGCUGGUCUGAGAGGAUGACCAGCCACACUGGAACUGAGACACGGUCCAG
rnacentral:rRNA from 1 species